rnacentral:lncRNA from 1 species
GUGGACUCCACGACCCUGUCCUCGGCCCUGUCCGCGCCGAAGCAGCCCGGGACUGCGCAGCGCCCCGCGUGCCGGUGAGCGACCCCGGACGUGCAGUCCCCAGGUCCCCUUCCGGAGCGAGGCUGAGCGGCUGCGCCGCGGCUUGAGCCGGGCCUGACAAGGAGGGGAGGCCGCUGGGGUGCUGGGCCAGCCGCAGACAUGGGAAAGUCUCUUUCUCAUUUGCCUUUGCAUUCAAGCAAAGAAGAUGCUUAUGAUGGAGUCACAUCUGAAAACAUGAGGAAUGGACUGGUUAAUAGUGAAGUCCAUAAUGAAGAUGGAAGAAAUGGAGAUGUCUCUCAGUUUCCAUAUGUGGAAUUUACAGGAAGAGAUAGUGUCACCUGCCCUACUUGUCAGGGAACAGGAAGAAUUCCUAGGGGGCAAGAAAACCAACUGGUGGCAUUGAUUCCAUAUAGUGAUCAGAGAUUAAGGCCAAGAAGAACAAAGCUGUAUGUGAUGGCUUCUGUGUUUGUCUGUCUACUCCUUUCUGGAUUGGCUGUGUUUUUCCUUUUCCCUCGCUCUAUCGACGUGAAAUACAUUGGUGUAAAAUCAGCCUAUGUCAGUUAUGAUGUUCAGAAGCGUACAAUUUAUUUAAAUAUCACAAACACACUAAAUAUAACAAACAAUAACUAUUACUCUGUCGAAGUUGAAAACAUCACUGCCCAAGUUCAAUUUUCAAAAACAGUUAUUGGAAAGGCACGCUUAAACAACAUAACCAUUAUUGGUCCACUUGAUAUGAAACAAAUUGAUUACACAGUACCUACCGUUAUAGCAGAGGAAAUGAGUUAUAUGUAUGAUUUCUGUACUCUGAUAUCCAUCAAAGUGCAUAACAUAGUACUCAUGAUGCAAGUUACUGUGACAACAACAUACUUUGGCCACUCUGAACAGAUAUCCCAGGAGAGGUAUCAGUAUGUCGACUGUGGAAGAAACACAACUUAUCAGUUGGGGCAGUCUGAAUAUUUAAAUGUACUUCAGCCACAACAGUAAAAACUGGAAGAGAUGGAUUUAAAGAAGAAAUAUCUAUUGAUAUUUCCUAUACUCUCAAUGAAGAGGUAUUUCCUAAUAGGAGACCUUAAAUUGAACAAACCUAAAGUUUACACUUCUAAGAGUACAGUUAAAAGUAUGUGGACCUGCAGUUCUUGUAACUCUCCACUCUGUGUUAAUGAUAUAUUUGUACUAGGAUCUUUUACUUGAAUCUAAAUUUACUGGUUGAUUUCCUUCUCCAGCCUAUCCCCUACAGGGAAAAGCUGAUACUUCCCCUAUAGUACAAUAAAUAAUUAUUUAAAAGUCAUAGCUCCAGUCACUACUGAAAACAUAAUUUUGGUGAUAAACAUAAUUUGAGAAACUUAAUUUCUGAAUGUUUUUAUAGAAAAUUACUGAAAGUCUAUUACUCAUGGAAGACUUUUAAAGAAUAACCUUUUUUCCUGUUUUAUAAAUUCCCAUUGUUAUAUGGUAGUAUUUCAGCUACACAAUAUUUUAGCUUUUAGCUAGACAUUUAUAGCUUUUCAUUUGUUGAAAUGGUAAUCAUCUGCAUGUUUUUGUCACUUAUUUCAGGUUAGUGAUUGCCUAACACUUAUAAGCCAAAAUAAUCUUUGCAAAAUUCCAUACCUAAAAUUUUGAAAGCCCCUAAUGUUUUCACACAUCUUUCUGUAUUAGUUAUAGUUUUGUGAAAUCUUUGUGUGAUCUUCAAACAUUAUCAUUUAAUGUACAAUACUGUAAAUAAACUGUGCAUGGCUUUUAUACAGCUUUAGUAAAUGUCAAAUAAAGUGGUACAGACUCAUUACAACAAGUUUCUCAUAAAA